CUUCUGUCUAGUGUCCUAGGCUUCACACCUAGCCGAUGCUUGUUGUCCUGUUUUGAUCCUCUUCAAAAGGUGGUUUAUAAUCAACUGUAAGACUUUGACAGUUGCUCUCAACAUUCUUCUAAAGGAAGGAAGGAAAAGAAAGAAAGGAAGAAAGGAAGAAAGAAAGAAAGAAGAAAGAAAGAAAGAAAGAAAGGAAGGAAGAAAGAAAGAAAGAAAGAGGCAAUGUCAUUCCUGUUCUCCCCAGAAUUGGUGAAAUCAGCAACAGAACUAUUCAUUUCAUGGAGCCUGGAAAAUCCAGUUUGUAUGACCAGGGAGAAGAAUGGAUUAGAGCAGCCACUAGUCAGUCUCUUCCAAGCAAGAAGGACCACCCCUGAGCUGUUUUCCAGCUGGACAUGCCUGGACCUGUAUUCCACUCCUCUCUAAAAUGCACCUUAUUUUUCUUCAUUAAAUUCUGUUACUUAACCCUUG
rnacentral:lncRNA from 1 species